UGAACGCUGGCGGCGUGCCUAAGACAUGCAAGUCGAGUGGGUUAGGCCCACGGCGAACGGGUGAGUAAUACCUAGGAACUUUUUUCCAAGUCGAGGAUAUCCUUCCGAAAGGAAGUGCAAUACUUGAUGUGACCGCAAGGUUAAAGUCGCAAGACGCUUGGAGCAAGGCCUGGGCACCAUCAGCUAGUUGGCGAGGGUAAUGGCUCACCCAAGGCUAUGACGGUUAGCGGAUCUGAGAGGAUGACCCGCCACACUGGGACUGCGACACGGCCCAGACUCCUACGGGAGGCAGCAGUUUGGAAUUUUGGUCAAUGGGGGAAACCCUAGAACCAGCGACGCCGCGUGGACGAAGACGGCCUUCGGGUUGUAAAGUCCUUUUGGCAGGGAACAAUUUUGAGUGUACCUGCAGAAUAAGAGGUUGCUAACUCUGUGCCAGCAGCCGC
rnacentral:rRNA from 1 species